AACGAACGCUGGCGGCGUGCCUAACACAUGCAAGUCGAGCGCGAAAAGGGCAACCUGAGUAGAGCGGCGCACGGGUGCGUAACACGUGGGUAAUCUGCCUUAGAGUCGAGGAUAACCUUCCGAAAGGUUGGCUAAUACUCGGUAAGCUUACGGUGUCUUCGGACGCUGUGGGAAAAGUAGGCCUCUGUUUACAAGCUUACGCUCUGAGAUGAGCCCGCGGCCCAUCAGCUAGUUGGCGGUGUAACGGACCACCAAGGCAACGACGGGUAGCUGGUCUGAGAGGACGAUCAGCCACACUGGAACUGAGACACGGUCCAGACUCCUACGGGAGGCAGCAGUGGGGAAUUUUCCACAAUGGGCGAAAGCCUGAUGGAGCAACGCCGCGUGUGUGAUGAAGGUUUUCGGAUCGUAAAGCACUUUCGACUGGGACGAAAAACCUUUGGCUAACAUCCAGGGGCCUGACGGUACCAGGAGAAGAAGCACCGGCUAACUCUGUGCCAGCCGCCGCUGUAAUAC
rnacentral:rRNA from 1 species